rnacentral:rRNA from 1 species
UGAGGGACGAAGGCCUUCGGGUUGUAAACCUCUUUUAGUAGGGAAGAAGCGACUGGGUUUUCCUGGGAGUGACGGUACCUGCAGAAAAAGCACCGGCUAACUACGUGCCAGCAGCCGCGGUAAUACGUAGGGUGCAAGCGUUGUCCGGAAUUAUUGGGCGUAAAGAGCUCGUAGGCGGCUUGUCGCGUCUGCUGUGAAAACCCGAGGCUCAACCUCGGGCCUGCAGUGGGUACGGGCAGACUAGAGUGCGGUAGGGGAGAUUGGAAUUCCUGGUGUAGCGGUGGAAUGCGCAGAUAUCAGGAGGAACACCAAUGGCGAAGGCAGAUCUCUGGGCCGUAACUGAUGCUGAGGAGCGAAAGCAUGGGGAGCGAACAGGAUUAGAUACCCUGGUAGUCCAUGCCGUAAACGUUGGGAACUAGAUGUGGGGACCAUUCCACGGUCUCCGUGUCGCAGCUAACGCAUUAAGUUCCCCGCCUGGGGAGUACGGCCGCAAGGCUAAAACUCAAAGGAAUUGACGGGGGCCCGCACAAGCGGCGGAGCAUGCGGAUUAAUUCGAUGCAACGCGAAGAACCUUACCAAGGCUUGACAUAUACCGGAAACGGCUGGAAACAGUCGCCCCGCAAGGUCGGUAUACAGGUGGUGCAUGGUUGUCGUCAGCUCGUGUCGUGAGAUGUUGGGUUAAGUCCCGCAACGAGCGCAACCCUCGUCCUAUGUUGCCAGCACGUAAUGGUGGGAACUCAUGGGAUACUGCCGGGGUCAACUCGGAGGAAGGUGGGGAUGACGUCAAAUCAUCAUGCCCCUUAUGUCUUGGGCUUCACGCAUGCUACAAUGGCCGGUACAAAGGGCUGCGAUACCGCAAGGUGGAGCGAAUCCCAAAAAGCCGGUCUCAGUUCGGAUUGAGGUCUGCAACUCGACCUCAUGAAGUCGGAGUCGCUAGUAAUCGCAGAUCAGCAACGCUGCGGUGAAUACGUUCCCGGGCCUUGUACACACCGC